GAGACAGAGGAAGCAGAAAAAGAACAUCAGGAAGAGAAUAAUCAUCAUGACCAAAACAGUGACAAUAAUCCAAUUCAAAGCAGUUCUGAAGACAUCAAGGAAGAAACCAACAAACAGCAAAGCGAUCAACAUGUUCAGGAAGACAAGAGUAAAGAAGAAACUGAAAGCAGUAAAGCUGACAUGAAGGAAGAAACCAACAAACAGCAAAGCGAUCAAAGUCUUUCAACCAACAAU